rnacentral:rRNA from 1 species
ACUGUGGUAAUUCUAGAGCUAAUACAUGCACUUAUAUCCAACCCGCAAGGGAUGGAUGCAGUUAUUAGAAUAAAACCAAGCAGGCUUGCCUGCAACUUGGUGACUCUGAAUAACCCAGUGAUCGCACGGUCUUCGAACCGGCGACAUAUCCUUCAAAUGUCUGCCUUAUCAACUGUCGACUGUAGUUUAUGCGCCUACAGUGGUUGUAACGGGUAACGGAGAAUUAGGGUUCGACUCCGGAGAGGGAGCCUGAGAAACGGCUACCACAUCUAAGGAAGGCAGCAGGCACGCAAAUUACCCAUUCUUGGUACGAGGAGGUAGUGACGAAGAAUAACAGGACGGCCUCUUAUUGAGGCCCGUCACUGGAAUGAGAACAGUUUAAAUCCUUUAACGAGGAUCUAUUGGAGGGCAAGUCUGGUGCCAGCAGCCGCGGUAAUUCCAGCUCCAAUAGCGUAUAUUAAAGUUGUUGCGUUUAAAAAGCUCGUAGUUGAAUCUGCGUCCAUUGGUUGACGGUCCCCUAACGGGAGUACUGUUUUACCAGGACCAAAUAUCUGGUUUUCUUUUGAUGCUCUUCAUUGAGUGUCUUAAGUGACUGGAGAGUUUACUUUGAAAAAAUCAGAGUGCUCAAAGCAGGCUUUUAGCCUGAAUGGUGGUGCAUGGAAUAAUG